UUGCUUUUAGAUAGACUUCUUCUGCUGC
rnacentral:sRNA from 1 species